rnacentral:rRNA from 1 species
AUUGAACGCUGGCGGCAGGCCUAACACAUGCAAGUCGAGCGAGCGGCGGACGGGUGAGUAAUGUAUGGGGACUGCCCGAUAGAGGGGGAUAACUACUGGAAACGGUAGCUAAUAACGCAUCCUAUCGGAUAACCCAUAUGGGAUUAGCUAGUAGGUGAGGUAAUGGCUCACCUAGGCGACGAUCCCUAGCUGGUCUGAGAGGAGUAUCAGCCACACUGGGACUGGGACGCGGCCCAGACUCCUACGGAGGCAGCAGUGGGGAAUAUUGCACAAUGGGCGCAAGCCUGAUGCAGCCAUGCCGCGUGGAUGAAGAAGGCCCUAGGGUUGUAAAGUAUUUUCAGUCGGGAGGCGUUACCGACAGAUGAAGCACCGGCUAACUCCGUGCCAGCCGCCGCGGUAAUUC